GAUGAACGCUGGCGGCGUGCCUAAUACAUGCAAGUCGAGCGAAGCGGGGACGGGUGAGUAACACGUACAUAACCUCCUAUAAGACUGGGAUAACUUCGGGAAACCUGAUCUAUACCGGACACUCUUAGAUGGUUCCUCGCUGCAUUAGUUAGUUGGCAAGGUAACGGCUUACCAAGGCAACGAUGCAUAGCCGGCCUGAGAGGGUGAUCGGCCACACUGGAACUGAGACACGGUCCAGAAUCCUACGGGAGGCAGCAGUAGGGAAUCUUCCGCAAUGGGCGAAAGCCUGACGGAGCAACACCGCGUGAGUGAUGAAGGUCUUCGGAUCGUAAAACUCUGUUAUUAGGGAAGCGGUACCUAAUCAGAAAGCCACGGCUAACUACGUGCCAGCAGCCGCGGUAAUAC
rnacentral:rRNA from 1 species